GAUGAACGCUGGCGGCGUGCUUAACACAUGCAAGUCGAGCGAUGAAGUUUCCUUCGGGAAACGGAUUAGCGGCGGACGGGUGAGUAACACGUGGGUAACCUGCCUCAUAGAGUGGAAUAGCCUUCCGAAAGGAAGAUUAAUACCGCAUAACGUUGAAAGAUGGCAUCAUCAUUUAACCAAAGGAGCAAUCCGCUAUGAGAUGGACCCGCGGCGCAUUAGCUAGUUGGUGGGGUAACGGCCUACCAAGGCGACGAUGCGUAGCCGACCCGAGAGGGUGAUCGGCCACAUUGGGACUGAGACACGACCCAGACUCCUACGGGAGGCAGCAGUGGGGAAUAUUGCACAAUGGGGGAAACCCUGAUGCAGCAACGCCGCGUGAGUGAUGAAGGUUUUCGGAUCGUAAAGCUCUGUCUUUGGGGAAGAUAAUGACGGUACCCAAGGAGGAAGCCACGGCUAACUACGUGCCAGCCGCCGCGGUAAAAC
rnacentral:rRNA from 1 species